AGGUUUCCGUAGGUGAACCUGCGGAAGGAUCAUUAUCGAGUUUUGAACGGGUUGUUGCUGGCCUCAUACGGGGCAUGUGCACGCCUGACUUCAUCCACUCUUCAACCUCUGUGCACUUAUUGUAGGCUAGCGUGAAAGGUCGCAUUCAUUUGCGGCUGGAAGCCUGUCUACGUUUUACUACAAACGCUUCAGUUAUAGAAUGUUUAUCUGCGUAUAACGCAUUUAUAUACAACUUUCAGCAACGGAUCUCUUGGCUCUCGCAUCGAUGAAGAACGCAGCGAAAUGCGAUAAGUAAUGUGAAUUGCAGAAUUCAGUGAAUCAUCGAAUCUUUGAACGCACCUUGCGCUCCCUGGUAUUCCGGGGAGCAUGCCUGUUUGAGUGUCAUGGAAUUCUCAACUUCUAAUACUUUUUUUGUAUCAGAAGCUUGGAUUUGGAGGUUUGUGCUGGCUCUAUGAGUUCGGCUCCUCUUAAAUGAAUUAGCGUGAAUCACUAUGGAUCGCUUCGGUGUGAUAAUUAUCUGCGCCGUGGUCGUGAAGUAUUAUUAAGUUCUCGCUUCUAAUCGUCCUUCAUAGGACAAUUAACCCUGACUUUUUGACCUCAAAUCAGGUAGGA
rnacentral:rRNA from 1 species